CGCAGCCUGAUGCACCAUGCCGCGUGUGUGAAGAAGGCUCUAGGGUUGUAAAGCACUUUCAGUAGGAGGAAAAGCUUAAAACUAAUAAUUUUAAGCCUUGACGUUACCUACAGAAAAGCACCGGCAAACUCCGUGCCGGCAGCCGCGGUAAUACGGAGGGUGCAAGCGUUAAUCGGAAUUACUGGGCGUAAAGCGCGCGUAUGUGGUUUUAUAAGCUAGCUGUGAAAGCCCCGGGCUCAACCUGGGAACUGCAUUUAAACUGUUUGACUAGAGUAUGAUUUAUUUGUGUUUUAAUUUCC
rnacentral:rRNA from 1 species